AGAGCCUUCCCCCCCUCUCCUGCUCCAACCUGAACUGGUCGUUCUCUGUCCCCAAAGCCCCUGGGAACUCUAUUUACCAUCAUCCAAAGGGCUGCCUUUAUGUUUCACGUGUAUCGGAUCCCCUGCUUUCCAGGAUCAUGUUUUUUGUUUCUCUCCCUUUUCAUCUGCUUCUUUGUUUCUACAGGCUUCAUCUUCUAGUAACCCCCUGAGAAAGUGGGCCAGUGGGCACAGGAGAUAGAACGUGUCAGACAUUUCACAUCUAAGAUGCGUACAUUCUACACUAACACUUCAUCAAUAAUCUGGCUAGCUACAGAAACUAAGCGGCAAUUUUCUCUCAGAAUUUUGAAGGCACUGAUUGGGUUGCCAUCCAGCCUCCAGGUGUAGCCUGUGGGACGGCCUUCCACAAGCCCAAGAGAAGAAGGAAGCUGAGUGGACUCAUCAUUCAAUACACAGGGGACCUUAUACACGAACAAAUUGGAUGACCUAGAAGAAAUGUACAAAGACCUAAAAACACACAACCUAUCCAAACGGAAUCAAGAAGAAAUAGAAAGCCGGAACAAACCAGUAACAAAUAAGGUGAUUGAAUCAGUAAUCAGAAACUUCUCGACAAAGAAAAGCCCAGUGCUAUAUGGAUUCACAGUCCCUGGAAACCACCAUUCAACUUUCUUGUCUCCAUGAAUUUGCUACUCUAGGUACCUCAUGUAAGUGGAAUCAUACAAUAUUUAUCCUUUUGAGAUGGGGUUAUUUCAUCUAACAUAAUGUCUUCAAACGGGAGGGUAUUACACUAAGUGAAAUAAGUCAGUCAGAGAAAGACAGAUCUCGUACGUUUUCACUCAUAUGUGGAACUUGAGAAACUUAACAGCAAUCCAUGGGGGAAGGGAAGGGGGAAAAACAGUUACAGACAGAGAGGGAGGGAGGCAAACCCUAAGAGACUCUUAAAUACAGAGAACAAACUGAGGGUUGAUGGGUGUGGGGAAAACGGGUGAUGGGCACUGAGGAGGGCACUUGUUGGGAUGAGCACUGGGUGUUGUACAUAAGCGAUGAAUCACGGGAAUCUACCCCCAAAACCAAGAGCACGCUCUAUACAC